CGAACGCUGGCGGCGUGCCUAAUACAUGCAAGUAGAACGCUGAAGAGAGGAGCUUGCUCUUCUUGGAUGAGUUGCGAACGGGUGAGUAACGCGUAGGUAACCUGCCUUGUAGCGGGGGAUAACUAUUGGAAACGAUAGCUAAUACCGCAUAACAAUGGAUGACACAUGUCAUUUAUUUGAAAGGGGCAAUUGCUCCACUACAAGAUGGACCUGCGUUGUAUUAGCUAGUAGGUGAGGUAAUGGCUCACCUAGGCGACGAUACAUAGCCGACCUGAGAGGGUGAUCGGCCACACUGGGACUGAGACACGGCCCAGACUCCUACGGGAGGCAGCAGUAGGGAAUCUUCGGCAAUGGGGGCAACCCUGACCGAGCAACGCCGCGUGAGUGAAGAAGGUUUUCGGAUCGUAAAGCUCUGUUGUAAGUCAAGAACGGGUGUGAGAGUGGAAAGUUCACACUGUGACGGUAGCUUACCAGAAAGGGACGGCUAACUACGUGCCAGCAGCCGCGGUAAUACGUAGGUCCCGAGCGUUGUCCGGAUUUAUUGGGCGUAAAGCGAGCGCAGGCGGUUUGAUAAGUCUGAAGUUAAAGGCUGUGGCUCAACCAUAGUUCGCUUUGGAAACUGUCAAACUUGAGUGCAGAAGGGGAGAGUGGAAUUCCAUGUGUAGCGGUGAAAUGCGUAGAUAUAUGGAGGAACACCGGUGGCGAAAGCGGCUCUCUGGUCUGUAACUGACGCUGAGGCUCGAAAGCGUGGGGAGCGAACAGGAUUAGAUACCCUGGUAGUCCACGCCGUAAACGAUGAGUGCUAGGUGUUGGAUCCUUUCCGGGAUUCAGUGCCGCAGCUAACGCAUUAAGCACUCCGCCUGGGGAGUACGACCGCAAGGUUGAAACUCAAAGGAAUUGACGGGGGCCCGCACAAGCGGUGGAGCAUGUGGUUUAAUUCGAAGCAACGCGAAGAACCUUACCAGGUCUUGACAUCCCGAUGCUAUUUCUAGAGAUAGAAAGUUACUUCGGUACAUCGGUGACAGGUGGUGCAUGGUUGUCGUCAGCUCGUGUCGUGAGAUGUUGGGUUAAGUCCCGCAACGAGCGCAACCCCUAUUGUUAGUUGCCAUCAUUCAGUUGGGCACUCUAGCGAGACUGCCGGUAAUAAACCGGAGGAAGGUGGGGAUGACGUCAAAUCAUCAUGCCCCUUAUGACCUGGGCUACACACGUGCUACAAUGGUUGGUACAACGAGUUGCGAGUCGGUGACGGCGAGCUAAUCUCUUAAAGCCAAUCUCAGUUCGGAUUGUAGGCUGCAACUCGCCUACAUGAAGUCGGAAUCGCUAGUAAUCGCGGAUCAGCACGCCGCGGUGAAUACGUUCCCGGGCCUUGUACACACCGCCCGUCACACCACGAGAGUUUGUAACACCCGAAGUCGGUGAGGUAACCUUUUGGAGCCAGCCGCCUAAGGUGGGACAGAUGAUUGGGGUGAAGU
rnacentral:rRNA from 1 species